rnacentral:rRNA from 1 species
UGCCAGCAGCCGCGGUAAUACGUAUGGUGCAAGCGUUAUCCGGAAUCACUGGGCGUAAAGGGUACGUAGGCGGUUUUGCAAGUCAGAAGUGAAAGGCUACGGCUCAACCGUAGUAAGCUUUUGAAACUGCAAAACUAGAGUUCAGGAGAGGUAAGUGGAAUUCCUAGUGUAGAGGUGGAAUGCGUAGAUAUAUUGAGGAACACCAGUGGCGAAGGCGGCUAACUGGACCGGAACUGGCGCUGAGGCACGAAAGCGUGGGGAGCAAACAGGAUUAGAUA